AAUCCGUGUUGCGGACACUUUCUCGGGGAGCUCCUUUGAACCUUUCCCAUGUUUCGAAUAAAGACUCCAAUUCCAAUUGAACAAAGGACGAGAUCUCAUUCCUAAGCUU